rnacentral:ncRNA from 1 species
UAAAACUAUAUAAGAAGAAGAGUACUUUAUUGAAAUGAGCACAGAGAGCUUCGGUUGGUGAGAGAAGUAGAAUGACAAUAGGGGAACAUGGUCUUUUUUUGGGAAGUGUCGAAUUUAUUUAGACAUUUACGGGGGCGCCCGUUAUAGCGAUAGAGUAUGAAGUACUUGAAGAGGUUAUUAUUGUGAAAUAGUAACGAAUAAAGGUGGUAACACGGAGUUUAACUUUCGUCCUUAUU